AAGAUUAACUUCUUAGACUUCUAAUCUAUUAAUAAUGAUAUAAUCAUUUAAUCUUU
rnacentral:tRNA from 1 species